GGGAAAAGAGCCAAUCUCAGUUUGAACCCCAGGGGUAUUGGGGUGGCAAAAGGUGGGGGCCGCAUAAACCUUCCCACAUGCAGCCUGCGAGUGCCAUCAAGCACACUCAACCUAAG